UUCGGAAGGCUUUCGUUCGAUGAGGUGGCACACCGGUUCGGUGGGUGAGAAUGUAGGCUGAUGCAGCACGGGAUAGUCUGUUUCGUUUAAACACAAAGGAAUCUUCUAACAAACAGUUACAACUGGCUUGCUUCUUUGCUGCGAAGUUAAACUCGCCCUGUAUUGGCGUUAAGUUCUUCGACAUUUUCGUCAUUGACAAAGCUCAUAUUCUCACGAUGUUUGGCAUUCUAAUUACCUACACUUUACUAAUACUACAGUUCGACGCUUCUGUGAUGAAAUCGAAGAGAGAGACGACCACUACGAUGGCCACAUCAUUCGCCACUUCCGGGGAACCAGUGACAUCUUCACUCGUUUGAAGCAAUCAAGAUGUUAGCCAGCGCUGACAUUCAUGUCCAGU